rnacentral:rRNA from 1 species
GGUAGUACGAUCGCAAGGUUGAAACUCAAAGGAAUUGANCGGGGACUCGCACCAAGCAGUGGAGCAUGUGGUUUAAUCCGAUGCAACGCGUAGAACCUUACCCAAGGCUUGACAUGUUGGGCAAAGCUAGGGAAACCUAGUAGAGGUUAUCCUAACACAGGUGCUGCAUGGCCGUCGUCAGUUCGUGCCGUGAGGUGUAUGGUUAAUUCCUAUAACGAACGCAACCCUUGUGCUUAGUUGCCAUCAUUAAGUUGGGGACUCUAAGCAGACUGCCCAGGGCAACCUGGAGGAAGGAAAGGAUGACGCCUGGUCGUCAUGGCCCUUAUGCCUUGGGCGACACACGUGCUACAAUGGUUAGUACAAAGGGUUGCCAACCCGCGAGGGGGAGCUAAUCUCAAAAAACUAACCUCAGUUCGGAUUGGAGGCUGCAACUCGCCUCCAUGAAGCCGGAAUUGCUAGUAAUCGCAAAUCAGCCAUGUUGCGGUGAAUACGUUCUCGAGUCUUGUACACACCGCCCGUCAAAUCACGAAAGUCGGUAAUGCCUAAGACCAACUUGCUAACCCGUAAGGGAGGCGGUUGAUAAGGGUAGGAUUGGCAAUUGGGGUUAAGUCGUAACAAGGUACC